rnacentral:rRNA from 1 species
CCUACGGGUUGCACCAGUGGGGAAUAUUGGACAAUGGGCGAAAGGCUGAUCCAGCAAUGCCGCGUGAGUGAUGAAGGCCUUAGGGUUGUAAAGCUCUUUUACUAGGGAUGAUAAUGACAGUACCUAGAGAAUAAGCUCCGGCUAACUCCGUGCCAGCAGCCGCGGUAAUACGGAGGGAGCUAGCGUUGUUCGGAAUUACUGGGCGUAAAGCGCGCGUAGGCGGCUUUUCAAGUCAGAGGUGAAAUCCCAGGGCUCAACCCUGGAACUGCCUUUGAAACUGGAUGGCUAGAAUACUGGAGAGGUGAGUGGAAUUCCGAGUGUAGAGGUGAAAUUCGUAGAUAUUCGGAAGAACACCAGUGGCGAAGGCGACUCACUGGACAGUUAUUGACGCUGAGGUGCGAAAGCGUGGGGAGCAAACAGGAUUAGAUACCCGAGUAGUC